AUUGAACGCUGGCGGCAUGCCUUACACAUGCAAGUCGAACGGCAGCACGGAGCUUGCUCUGGUGGCGAGUGGCGAACGGGUGAGUAAUAUAUCGGAACGUACCCAAGAGUGGGGGAUCACGUAGCGAAAGUUACGCUAAUACCGCAUACGAUCUAAGGAUGAAAGUGGGGGAUCGCAAGACCUCAUGCUCCUGGAGCGGCCGAUAUCUGAUUAGCUAGUUGGUGAGGUGAAGGCUCACCAAGGCAUCGAUCAGUAGCUGGUCUGAGAGGACGACCAGCCACACUGGAACUGAGACACGGUCCAGACUCCUACGGGAGGCAGCAGUGGGGAAUUUUGGGCAAUGGGGGCAACCCUGAUCCAGCAAUGCCGCGUGAGUGAAGAAGGCCUUCGGGUUGUAAAGCUCUUUUGUCAGGGAAGAAACGGUGAAGGCUAAUAUCCUUUGCUAAUGACGGUACCUGAAGAAUAAGCACCGGCUAACUACGUGCCAGCCGCCGCCGUAAUAC
rnacentral:rRNA from 1 species